GGGUAUGCUAUGAAUGCACUGAGGCAGCCGAAGGCGAAGACUGAUAGAAUUGCUGUGAGGGAACCCGGGCUGACACUGGAGUUCUUAAUCUUGGCUCCGUGCCAAGUAGCGUUGUUAAUGCCGGUGCCGGAGUCGGUGCCGCGCUAUUAAUAGCAGGCUGCGGUGCCUCCAGGGGGGCCUGAGUUGUUGGUGCCACAUUCAUCGCGGUGCCGAUAGGUGCCAGAAUAGAGGCAGGCAACUGAAAGCCUGUCACCUCGGCACCGGAGCCUUGCGCUGCCGCCGAAAGCACAGGCGGGUUUAGUGCGGUGCCAGAGGAGCCUGGCUCGUCGAAAGUGCUCAGACGGGGGAGCACCAGUAAGGAGACUGUGGACCUGACCGGAGAAGGUUUGUGUCUAAGGGUUUCUUUUGACUUUGAGUGAAGGUGUUCUCGUUUAGCUGCUUUCUUCUGCUUCUUUGAAAUGGGAGAGCUGUGUCUGUGAGCGGAGGCAGAGUGCACACCAGGGUCUGAGGCGGACCCUAGAGAUUUCUGAAGUAAAAUAAGUUUGAGUUUUAUCUCUCUAUCCUUUCUCGCUCUGGAGCUUAGUUUAGUGCAGUGAGUACAUUUUUGGGGAAUAUGGGUCUCCCCCAAGCAUUUUAUGCACUGAGAAUGUCCAUCAGAGAGAGGGAUAGCAUCCUUACAGGAGGAGCAGCGCUUAAAGUCUGUGG